UGGUGGCUUAUGCUGCUGAUGACUUCUUUAUAAAUGGCAAAUUUUCCUCAGUAAUACUAUUGAGGCAUUCUGUAGUAUAUCAUCAAGCAAGGACUGGGGGAAUUGUGCUAAUGUGAAUUUUUGGUUUGGUUAUAAAAGAGACAGUUGCUGAGCAUGUCUGUUGUGAAAUAUUCAUGUAUCUAGGCUAGAAUAUUGAUUGAUAUUAGGUACUAUAAUAAACCGAUACCACUCAUCCAAGGUCUUUAUGUUGCUCUCAGAUAGUCGUAGAAAUUUAUCACUUAAUUAAGUGAUAAUGUAAAAAUGUUGUGUGUGUGUCAGACUUUUUUGGUUUCUGGUUCAUCUUGGAUCUUUCUUUUCCCAUCUACUUGGCACACUAGGUUACAGUAGAUUCCAAACACUAGGAUCCUGUCCUUUAUUAGACCACUGCUUCUAAAACUAUGAGUCCCGACAUCAAAUUGUUAGCUCAGUGUUAGAGUCACAAAAAAAUUGACAUCAGUAAACAUUUUCUGAACUUCACCUAAUGAAUGGUUUAGACAUUUACAUGAAUCUAUGGUGCAGUGUUUACAGUGGACUGUGCAGAAGAUGCUUCAGCUGUGCUUCAUAAAAAUCAACCUGUUUAGCAUGCCUUGCAAAUGCGGAUUUGUGAUCAGUAAAUGUUUGCUUUUUAAAAUUUAUUUUAUAUACCAAAACUACAUACUUGGGGUGACAUAAACAUUUCUCAGGCCAAGAGGGGUCCCAAGUGGAAAGGUUUAAGAACGCUUGCUUUAGACUGCUAUGAAAAUUGAUGCUCUGGUAUACAUAGUGAGAGAACAUGGGUUAUUAUUCAACUAUGAGGCUUAAUUGCACGUCCAUAUGUUAUUGGGGAGACAGACAUGUCCGGCUUAUUCUUUCUAGAACAUUUCAGGAGUUUGGAAAACUCCAGAGCCCUGGAAGAGUAUCUUCCCAUUUUCAUUGCUUAGAAUAAAAAGUUAACAAAUAUAUUUUCAGCGAGGUCUUUCUUUGGCACCCUUGGCUACUAGUUAUUCUGUAUUGAUAUGUCUGGCCUAUGGAGGUUCUGAGCAAAGGGAAGAAGCAAUUAGGGCACAAACAGUGGGUUGGGAAUUAAAACUGUUGAUAAAGCGACCCCUGGUGUUGCUGUCUAUAAAGUGCCAUAUGACCAAAGGUGCAGUUACCUAGUGUAUCUGAACUUUGCCCAUCCGACAAAUGAGGCAUGUUAUAUUCUGCAGAAGGGUUUUCCUUUUAUUCAACUUGGUUUGAGGACUGCUUUUUAAAAUUCAGAAUUGGAUUUGGUAUUGGAAAUUUACUCAUGUCCAGUGUCCUUGAUGGUAUGGGUUGGAAAAAACUCUUGUUGAUUGAACUCAUGCCACUCCAGGCUGAGAAAAGCUGGUGGGAAACUGGACCUUUUGACACUUUUAGCCAAGGAGAUUUGUGGUAAUAUGCAGUUGCUCUUUAUGUGCUGAUGGCUUUUCUUGUACAGCUUCAUUUCUCUAAUCACUUUAUUCACUGUAUAACAAAAAGUUUACACUAUAAAUAAUGACACCAAGCUCUGUUUUUCCUUUUUAUGCAGACCUGGUAGUUCAAACUGGUUAGGAGGAAAUGGAUGCAGUUGAGAAAUAACAAGCAUAAAACAAAUAUGAAUAGCACCAAAUGUGAUGUGUAGUGAGAUUAUGAGAUACAGAUAUGUGACACCAGACUAUUCAGGUUGGAGGAGUGAGCAAUAGGUAAGAUUUUCGAAAGAACAAAAGUAUAGAUUAAGGUAAACAUUAACUUCCUCGGAGUUAAUUCUUCUUUGGACUGUAUGUGAAUACCCAGCUUAAAGAUGGUAAAAAUUAAUGAACAUUUCACUUCAGUGUGCCAAAAAGAAAUCCAGUGAUAGGUAUUUUAGUUGGUAUUUUAAUAUUGCAGCCUUAUAACAUAAUGAAAGUUUUAGAAAACUGUGUACAGCUUCACUUAUCAAUUUUUUAAAGUGUAAAUUGCUUUGAUGCUGUGCAAAACUAAUUAGUGACAAUCAUAUCUUGUGGGAAAGUGUUCUGCUUUGUAUACAUAUGCAUAGUGUGAAAAGGAAAUACUAGUCAUGUCUGUCCUGAAUCUACAUCACUUAACUUCAUUGAGAGGUACCAAGCGAGGCAAAAAGCAUGCCUAGAAUCUACUUACACAGAAUUGUACUAAUACUGUAUUUCAGCACAUAAUAGUUGCACUUUUUAACCUUUCUUUUUUACAGAAAAAGGUGGAUGCAACUCUUACAUGGCGAAAGGGGUAGGGCAGUUUUUUGUACCCCAAAAAACCAAGCAUCCCUCUUCAUGUAUCUUGCUGCAGUACGUACUGUAAACCACAGCUUUGCUUACUCAUCUGCUACCUUUCAGGCACAGCAUGUCCUGUGGCUGAGUCUAAAAACAUGGCAAGUGAGUGAGUGCAUAAAGCGCCACUUCACUUGCCCACAUGCCCGCUCACCUUACAGACACAGCACUUCAUGUGGCUGAGUGCUUUCGGACUGAACCGCAUGAAUUGCCAUGCUUGAAAAGGGGAAGGUGAAUCAGUUGUUUGUGUAGUGCAGCAAGACAAGCAGAAGAUAAGUUUAGCUAGGCCGUUUAAGGCAGGGAGGCUGUCUUCUGCUGGCUACACUAUGUGCUGGCCGUCUGCCAGUAGUACAUUAGGGCGAUGAAUUAACAAUGUGACUAUUGUGCAAGGAAAGCAAAAAUACCGAUUUUUUUACCUCCUAAAAUGUUGGUGCGACUGUUACAUGGUAGCGACUAUUAUAUGAUGAAAUAUUAUACUUCAAAAAUAAGCUCUUUAAUCACCUUCUAUAAACUCUUAAGUCAGGAGCCUGCAACUUUGGUGGGUCUGUGGGUCCUGUGUCCUCUACGGCCACAUAUUUCCUUCUAGAAAUAUUGAGGUUUGUGAAGAUGUGUGUAUUUGUCUUCAGAAUUGGAAGUAACUAGAAGUUCAGUUCUGGUUUGGGGAAAAUACAGAAACAGUUCCUUUUCACAAAAACAGGAAUGGAUAAAUGCCUCAGUUUAGGGGUCAAUAACAUGGCGGAAUUAUUUCCUGCAGGCCUUUUUAAAAGUAUAACUUCUGGUCGACUUCCUAAUGCAAAAGAAGGCCCUGGAGGCAGGACCUUCUUUUGCAUGUAGCAAAAUUGCCACCCAUGCCCUUUAGCCUAAAAUUGGGGGUGAUAAAGAACCUUGGGAGCUUUUAAAAACACCUGUGCUUUCCUCUUAUCCUUCUUUAGAUGAGAAUAGCUGCCCAUGGGAGCUUCUCGAAGCAAGAGUUUUUGUUUUGUCCUGCUCAUCAAUCCUCUUGAGUCCCUCUUCGGAGGCUGAGAUAGGACGGGAUAUAAAAGCCCAAAAUAAAUAAAUGAUAAAUUUUGAACAGAAUUCUUUUUCACAGGGAGACACAUAACACACACAAUUGGCUUGUAUUCACUUGUGUUAUGUUGCUGUCAUAAGUGUUUUAUGCUUCCACACAAGAGAAAGGUUUCUUCAUCUUUUAAAGAUGUCCUUUUGCUAUAAUUUUACCAGCAUUAUAGCAUCCUUUUUGAGAUAACUAGAAAUAAACAUAGGUUGGAUUCCUGUGGGGUUAGUCCCAGAGUAGACAGGUUCAGUUUAGGGUUGCCAUGCAUCAGAAAUGACAACAAUAAAGACAUUUGAUAGAUCUGAACAAUUCUUUGGUUGAGGUAUGUCUUGAUUUCGAAAAGGCUUCUAACAAAUCCCUCCAUUCUUUCUGGCAAGCUGGGGAACCAGUUAACUAUAGCUGUUUAAUAUGCUACAAGUGAAGGGCACACAAUAAAUGGUUUUACCACUACUUCUGUUUUGGUUUUGGACCUUAAGAGAUUUCUCUUUUAUGAAUUUGGAUAUCUCUUUAUUUUUACAAAAAAAAAAAAAUCCCCCAAAUAUUCGGACGUAAUAUAACUUAUCAAGACUUUACUGUUUUGAAGCCCCAGUAGGAUAGCAGCAGCCUGCUAAGAUUUAACACUAUUUCACCAGCUUUUAAAAAGCUGUGUCUAGAAAAGAGGAGUUAUCUUAUAUUACUAUCAUUGUUAGUGUUAAUACAAUGUUUAUUGUCAUUUCAUUAAUAAAACUUAAAAGUAAAAUUUAGACCAUGAAUAAUGAAGCAAUUUCUCAAUAUCCUUCACAGCAGUUCUAAUUCAAUAUAGAGAUGCUCUUCCUCAAAUGAGAAAUAGGUGGUUUGUGGCAAGAGGAGGAAAAUAAAUGACUGUUCAAGGCAAUGGGCCCAAAAGGUAAGUCUUCAAAAGGAACUGAGGAGAAGUCACAAGAUAACUGUUUGUUCAUUCAAUAAAUUCAUAAACUAGACUACUACAAAUGGAACUUAAGAUGUCUUACAAAAAGAACUAAUACAGAUACAUAAAAUGAAUACAAGCAUAAAAAGUAAAAUUUAAAAACACCAAUAAAAGAAAACCAGAACACAGUACAAGUGACAAUAUUGACUAUCAUGCUGGUUUCAUGUUACAGCUAGAAAUGUAGAAACAACCAAACUUCUGAAAUCUAAUGACCCGAAUUUAAAGAAUAAAUAAUAAUAGUAAUAAUAACAAUAACUUUAUUUUUAUACCCUGCCUCCAUUUCCCUGAAGGGACUUGAGAUGGCUUACACAUGGGACAAAUGUCCACAACAUUAAAGCAAAACAAUGCAUUAAAAAAAAAACCAAUUAAAAUAAAACAUAGCAAAGCAUAACUAUCAAAUAAAACACAAAACAUAAGGAUAUAAAACAGCAUCAUUAAAACUCAAACAAUAUACAACAAAAAACCAAUAACUAAGGUGGGCAUGAUCAGGGUAUAAAGAUGGCCGUGCCUGGGAUAGUGUGAAACAGCAUAGUAUAGGGCCAGGGGAUUAGAAGAAAUGCAGAGAACAGUACUAUGGUGAGCUAGGGACUGGGCAUUUAUAAGUAGGGACUAGUCAUUCUCAAAUGUUUGUUGGAACAUCCAGGUUUUUAGAUCCCUACGAAAGGAGAACAGUGAAGGGGCUUACCUAAUCUCCCUGGAGAGGGUGUUCCGAAGUCGGGGGGCACCACCAAGAAGGUCCUCUCUCUUGUUCCCACCAGCCAUGUGUGUGAUGAUGGUGGAAGCGAGAGGAGGGCCUCCUCGGCAGAUCUUGGAGCAUGUGCUGGUUCAUCGGGGGGAUGCAGUCACAAAUCCAUUUAUUGGGAUUUUAUUAAGCUUUAAUCUACCUAGGUUUCUUGAUGUGCAAAAAACAAAAAUAAAGGGAAACAUCAGUUUUUAUAUUAUGUAGUGGCCCGGAAAAGGUUAGUGGAAGCCAGCUGGUUACUUUCAUCUGCAGAUAAGAUAAUUUUGCCACCUAAAGAUGAGCUUUGUUCUUUUAGACUCCUUCCAGUUUGGAACUUUAUCCAACAUUACUUUCCAGCUUUGCUUAUAUGAUUUUCCUUCCUUGCAUUUUCCGCUUUCUACAGAGCCUGGAUUUAAGUGAGAACUCAAUUUUAUAUUUUAAAAAAUGAAGGAAUCAGUUACAACUAAUGCAUUUGUUUUAUUUAUGAAAGUAUUUGUGUCCUACCCACUAUAUUAGCUUCUCAGGGAAGUGUAAAGUAAAACUGGUAUUUGAAUGAAAGUGGCAGUGGCUUCCAUGUAACUUUGAAUAGAUUUGAACACAUUCCUUAAAUGAAACUCAUUUAAAAAUGCUAGGUCAUGUAUAUUCCUUGUGUUCUGGUUUUUAUUGAAAAUAUUUAUACCCCAUAUUUCUGCCUUAUAACAGGUGCCCAAGGUGACUGGUAAGUGAGCAUGAAUAACUGAGAUUAUUUAAAAGGCAAUGGUGAUUUAAAAAUACUUGGUGGGAAGUGUCUUGGUGGUGGAAAAUGUUCACUUCCCAUAUUUAAGAUGUGGAAGCUGCUGUUACUUCAAUUGCCUCUCUACUUAUCCUCUGUCCUUAUGCAGUUUAUUCUUCCUGAUAAUGGAGAUAGAGGUUUUGCUAAAAUAACAGUGAUUUGGCACUCAUAGAGGCUGCUGUGUGUUGCAUACAUUAUACCAAAAGAUGCAUGGAUGCCUAAGACACAAUUGGAUUUCUGCAUUGAGAAGUACUAUAUAUGCUCAUGUGAAUGUCGACCUUAUAUAUAAGUUGCAGGGAACUUUUGGGGCCAGAAUUAGGAUUUUGAUAUGACCCACAGAUAAGUCAAGGGUUAGUCCAUGGAGAGGGGAAAGCACCAGCAUUGCCUCACCACCCCGCUGCCAUCACCAUUUUCUUACCCAGGCAUUCAAAAGGUCCAGAAAGGGUGCCUAGGUGAAGAUAGUGGAGGGGUUGGGUCUUAUUUUAGGUUCUCCCAGAAUGGGCUGAACUUUUAUGUUUUGCCACUGUACUCAGACAAGGGGAUAGUUAUUUUUUAUAUAUAUAAGAGUUAGAAUUAUAGUACUUAGAUUGACCUGUGGAUUAAUCAGUCUGGCUUUUUGGGGUCAAUUUUUGACUAAAAUUUCUAGACUUAUGCAUGAGUAUAGACAGUAGUCCACUGAACAUCUGAUAAAACAGCAUAGUGUGAGAGGAAAAGGAAACUGAAAAAAGACUGCAAUUUACACUACUCCAUGUUUGUACUUUCGUGACAUACAAACUCUCACACAAAGAGUCCAAAGGAUGUGAAACAUUGAACAGAGGGAGGGGGAGGCAUAAUCAAUACUACUGUUUUCUAUAGUUGACACUUCUUUGUACAACAAGAGAUCAUGUGGAAAAACAGCUUGUCCAAAUUUAUUUCUCUGCCUUUCCAGCCCAUGCAAGUGAUAAUACAGAACUAGUGAGGCUCAUGGGCUAAGCACCAUCCUCCUGACAACAGCAUUAUAACAACCCCAUCUCUUAAUGCAAGGAUAGUCUGAAUUACUUUUCACAUACCUCUCACAAGGUUUGCCUCCCCAAAACAUUUGCAUGUGAUGUGUUUCUGUUUGCACAUGAAUAGAGAUAAAGACUGCAAACAAAACUUCUGUUGCAUUACUGAUACUAACUGUUCUAGUGAAUGAUUUUAUAGUCAUAGUCUGCUAAAAACUUAGCCAUAAUGACUACUCUUUAGGUUGCUUUGCUCGCAUUAAAUACAUGUGUAUAGAACAUAUAUCCCUAUAGCAAAAUCUGUCAACUUCCUACCUUCCAGACUUUUUGGGCUGCAAUAUUCAUCUCCAGCCACCAUUUGGAAUCAUAGAGUUGGAAAAGACCCCAGAGGCCAUACAAUCCAACCUUUCUCUGCCAUUCAGAGAAACACAAUUAACUCACUCUUGACAGAUGGCUAUCAAGCCUCUGUUUAAAACCUCCAGAGAAGAGACUCCAUCAUAAUCUGAGGGUAUAUAUUCCACUAUUGAACAGCACUUACUGUCAGGCAGCUCUUUCUUAACAGUCAGGUGACAUCUCUUCCUAUAGUUUGAAUCCAUUAGUCUGUGUCCUUAUCUGUUUAGCUGCACAAAGUAUUAUGUUAUUGUUGUUGAAACUUCAAAUAUGAUGUCAUUUGACAGGCUUAUUACUUAUAAACACAAUAUAGAGGAAGAACUUCUCUUUGUCAUGGAUAAAUGUCCAUAUUCAUUUGUUUAGCAGCAGAAAACAAGCUUUUCCCCUCCUCAAUGUGACAUCCUUUCAAAUAUAUAAACAUCGUACCUGUCCAAAUGUAUCUCCUUCUAUGUCCCACCUCAGAGCUUAAGAUCUUCUGGGGAGGCCCUGCUCUCAGCCCAGCCUUUGUCUCAAACACAUUUGGUGGGGACGAGGGACAGGGACUUCUCUGUGGUGGUCCCCGUCUGUGGAAUUCGCUUCCCGGGGAAAUUAGGUAAUCAUCAUCCCUCCUCACCAUUAGAAAAAGGGUUAGAACAUGGUUGUGGGACCAGGCCUUCGGGGAAAAUAAGGUUAAAGGACAAUUGAUAAUGUUUGACUAUGGCUUGGAAGAGGAUUUGGAUAAGUUAAGCAGAGUAAUCUUUAGUAUUUGGGUAGCUAAAUAGCCACCAGACUGGCAAUAGCUAAAUAGAUCGUAAGUAUACUGUCUUAAUCUUUAUUUAUUAAUGUUUAUGUUUUAAUUGUUAUUUUGCUAUUUUGUAUUUUAUGAUGCGGCAUUGAAUUAUUGCCAAUUGGAAGCCGCCCUGAGUUCUCCUAGGGGUUGAGAAGGGCGGGGUAAAAAAUGUUCGAAAUAAAAUAAAAAAAUGAAAAAUCACUAUAAUCUCUUCUCCCAAUCUUCUCUUCACCAAGCUAAACAUACCUGGAGAAGAGAAGGUUGUGAGGUGAUAAUUGUCAUAAUGAAAAAUGCGAGGCAUCUUCUAUCCAGUGCAUUUGAUAUGCUGAAAGAUAACAUUUAUGAUAUGUAUAUUUUCUUUUGGUUCUCCUAAUGGGUAGUUAUGAAAAGAGCCCAGUCUGUCAUGCACUAUUUUUUACAUAGUUGGCAGAUACUCAAAUGAGUAGGGUGAUUUUCUGUGAAAUUUCUUUGGUCCUCAGUAAUACUUUCUGCUUAGUUUUUAAGGCUCUCAAUGCACCCGAGUGUAAGCCCCCUUGAACACAAUUGGAGUUAUCUUUCAGUAGAUGUGAUUACAAUUUUACUUCUUGAAGUACAAAUCUUUCCAACUGUAGAAGAGAGGAACCUUUAAAGGUGAGUUACUAGUUUCUUGGAAUACUAGCAGAUUAAGCAGGUGUUAUAUUUGGAAAGGGACAGGUUUAGGGAUCUGUUAGAUCUGCUACCUUCAUAGUAUAUUUUAGUUUAUAAUUUUUUAAUCUAAUUCUACAGCAUAUGGUGCUAGAGGCACUUAGGUGUAUGUUUUAAGAUUUUAAUUAGACUUACUAAUUUUGAGCCAGUUCACUUGCACAUUGAGAUACAUAGGCAACAGUUUCAAAAAGAUAUUCCUUUAUUUCCAUCCUUUAUUUUUCUUGAUUGCUGCCUAUUACACAUAGUAAACAAACCAUACACUUAUUACAGGUUUCCCCAUUUCUGCAGAGUUGUUCUUACUGAAACAGUUCAUUCAUAUUCUUGCUUUAAUUUCCAGUUUUGGGCUAAAGGUUCAAGAAAUAGUGAAAUAGAAGAAACAAGAAAGCAGAUGCCAGAAAAAAUGAAGGAGUAUUCUGAAUGGAAUUUCUGACUGGGGCCCUAUUCUGCUUGCUUACAUCGAUGGGGUACUUUCACAUAUGAUUCACAUCUCAAUAAAGGGACAGCAUAGAAGAAGUCCUACUGGCUCAGUCCAAAAGCUGAUCUUGUUUUGAACAGUACCAGCCACCCUCCUACAUACAGGUCUGCAGCUUGCUUUUGACAAUACAAUUAUUUCAAAGGAAAUUACAGUUCAUGUUACCUGCUAGAGGAGGUCCACUGGUGAUUCCAAAUCCAGCAAUAAAUGAGGCAAAUCCCAAAGCACUGUGGAAAGUGGAGGCACCUACAAGAUCUACCUGUUGAGAGAACCAAUAUUAUUGCAUGGGUGUACUAUGGUCAUGUAUUAUCAGCACUUUGGGAAUGUAUAGCUGGAAUAGGAUUAAAAAGGUUUAAAUAAAAUACACUACAUACUCACGCAUAAGCCUUGAAAUUUUAGUCAAAAAUUAACUUAAAAACUGGCUUGACUAAUCUGUAUUUUUUUAAAGGAACCAUCCCCAUCUCUGAACAGAGUGGCAAAAGGCCAGAGCUUAGUCUGUCCCGGGAGAACCUUAAAGAAACACUGACUCUCUCUUCUCUCUCUGCCAUGGUGACACUUCUGGCUUUUUUGAAUGCUUGGGUGGGGAAAUGGUGAUGGCCAUGCGUUCCUCUCUCUGCAAAAUGAUAUUGGACCUAUCCAAAUGUUUUAUCAAGAAUUGUAAUUUUGGCCACAAAACCUGGGCUUAUACAUGAGUAUAUAUAGUAAUUAGAAUUGAUUUCAGCUUUUAACAAUUAAAUCUUGUUUGUCCAGACUCAGAAUUGCAAUGGAUCUCCUACUACUGUUCUGCCUGACUCGUAGUGAGGUGAGAACAUGCUUAGCUCUUGCCUCAAAUGGAGUAAUGGAAUAUGAGUGUGAAAAUCUGAAAGUUUCAUCAGUCUUCAAGCCACCAUGACCCCUUCAGAAUGCUAGGCCAUUUGGUUAAUGUCCCCUACUUUGAUAUCGUGGAUAGAAGUUCUGAGUGGCAAGGAGGAUUGUGAGUCUUACAUUUUUCUUCUUAUUUUUUUCUUGAUUUGCUUUCUGGCUUUGUAAAUUAUUGUACUCACUUGAAUCUAACGCUCACCUUUUUUUGACUAAAUGACCUUGCCAAAAUUGAGUCACACAUCAGAUUUGCUUCAUAUAGUAAUCUUAGUACUGAGCCAAAGCAAAAGGGGAAGCUGCUUCAGGAAGACCACCUGAAUCUCCUCUUUGAGGGAUGUUAUCUCUAAUCCCAGGGCUCAAUGCUAUGCAACCCUAGGAUUUGUAGUUUGGUGAGGCACCAGCAGAGAAGGCUCAAAACUUUGUCAAACUACAGCCUACAGGAUUCCAUAGCAUUGAACAAAGGCAAUUAAAGUCAAUUCAUUCUACAGAAUAGAUGUACCCCAAGGUUUUCUUUUCUAUCACUAGAAGAAAUUAUACGCAUGCAGUCGCUGUAAUGCAUACCUUUUUUACCAACUUACAAAGAGUGCACGUUUUGCUGUUGCAUAUCACAAUCGGCAGCAAAUCCUUUUUUGUCUUUAGGAUGUUGAAAAUUGAGGUGCACAUUAGAUUCAAACGCUCUUUAGACUCAAGUAAAUAUAUUUCCCUUCAGGUGAAUAGUUAUAGUCUGUAACUACUCACAAAAACAUAACUAUUUGCAAGCAGCUGAAGUCUUGCUUUAAAUAGCUUUAAAAGCUGAAGUCUUGCCGUAAUAGCUUUAAAACAAGCAUGUGUCAUCAUAGUAUUACCAGGAAUAAAGUCCAAAGCUUUUAGAAGAGAAGAGAAAGGCACUCAGGAAGCAUGAGAAAAUGAGAAACUCCACAGGUCCAAAGUACAAGUGGUGGUUUUUAUCAUUUUUAAACAGCAUGCUUGGCCACUGGGAAACUGGACUGAGAUGUCAAAAAAGUGCAAGUAACAUCCAGCUUCUGGGUUGCAGUGAGUUUUCUGGGCUGCAUGGUCAUGUUCUAUAAGCAUUCUGGAACAUGGCCCUACAGC